rnacentral:rRNA from 1 species
UUUUAUUUGAGAGUUUGAUCCUGGCUCAGGAUGAACGCUGGCGGCGUGCCUAACACAUGCAAGUCGAGCGAACCCUUCGGGGUGAGCGGCGGACGGGUGAGUAACGCGUGGGUAACCUGCCUCAUACACAUGGAUAACAUACCGAAAGGUAUGCUAAUACAGGAUAACAUGUUUUUAUCGCAUGAUAAAAAUAUCAAAGCUCCG